rnacentral:rRNA from 1 species
UACGAAGGGGGCUAGCGUUGCUCGGAAUCACUGGGCGUAAAGGGUGCGUAGGCGGGUCUUUAAGUCAGGGGGGAAAUCCUGGAGCUCAACUCCAGAACUGCCUUUGAUACUGAGGAUCUUGAGUACGGGAGAGGUGAGUGGAACUGCGAGUGUAGAGGUGAAAUUCGUAGAUAUUCGCAAGAACACCAGUGGCGAAGGCGGCUCACUGGCCCGUAACUGACGCUGAGGUGCGAAAGCGUGGGGAGCAAACAGG